rnacentral:sRNA from 1 species
CAAAGCCACAGCAGCAGAAAGUAGUGACGGGAGCAUCAAGAAGUCAUGUUCAUGGCAUACUCUACGCAUGAGAAAGCGGGCAGAAGUGGAGAACACGGGUAAAAAUGAAGCCACAGGGCCUCGUAAACCCAAGGAUAUUCUGGGCAACAAAGUCUCUGUUAAAGUGAGUAAGGUAUUCCGGAGCUGCGUCCCCACCUGUCAUCCACUCCCACCCUGCAGCAUUCUCACAAGCCAAUUUGGGUGGAUGGGUUAUUUUUUUUUCCCCAGUAUGGGUACCAGAGGGGAAGUAGUUUAGCAGGAUUUUGCAUGCAAGAUCAAUUUAUUUUUUAUCUUUUAUUUCUCCUGGCAACUUCAAUUCAAGUAAGUACCUUUUUUUUUCUUUUAUACCUUUCUCUUUGUACUGUGCAGAUGUUUUAAGGCAAAAUUAUCUGCAGCAUUCUCGUAAAAAUGUGAGAUGCUUGAUUCAUAUUAAAUUUCUCAAAGCUG